ensembl:lncRNA
UUAAAGUGAAUAUGAAGUAAUCAUAAUCUGGUUGUAAGCAUUUUGAGAAAUACACUACUGACCGAAAUAAUUAGAAAUGUUCCUGAAUGACAAGGAAGCCAAAGAUAGCAUAGCCGCUUCUUCAGCUUUCCUCUACUUGAUGUUCCUGGAGGCAACAUUGCGGCCCUAGUCACUGUGUUUCUUAUAAUCUUGAACAAGUCGCUUCUCUUUGUCCAAUGGUAAAAUGAAGAGAUGGAUGAGAGGAUAUCACAGAUCUCCACCAACUUUGACAAAUCUCCAGUCCAAGGACCAGGAUGUGCUGUUCUCUCAACCAUGUUCCUUAAUGCGGUAUCUGUGAAGAAUCUAGGCGCAUUUUCCAUUGCCAGAAACAUUGCAUAUUGCUCCAGUCAUUGUUUGUAGAGACACUGAGACAGAAUAUUAAUAUAAAAAUGGAAGAAUGUGUAUGUAUAAAAUCAAGCUGGAAACAUCUACUGGGAGAAGAGUCUUCAGGUAAAGU